GGGGUUGUGGCUCGGUGGUAGAGCGCUCGCCUAGCAUGCGAGAGGCACUAGGUUCGAUACUCAACACCA
rnacentral:tRNA from 1 species